UACGGAGGGUGCAAGCGUUAUCCGGAUUUACUGGGUCUAAAGGGUGCGCAGGCGGCUAUGUAAGUCAGUGGUGAAAUCUCUAGGCUUAACCUGGAAAUUGCCGUUGAUACUAUAUAUCUUGAAUGUUGUGGAGGUAAGCAGAAUAUGUCAUGUAGCGGUGAAAUGCUUAGAUAUGACAUAGAAUACCUAUUGCGAAGGCAGCUUACUACGCAGAUAUUGACGCUCAUGCACGAAAGCGUGGGGAUCAAACAGG
rnacentral:rRNA from 1 species